AUGAGUGACAAACUUGCUAUUUUUAACUGGAAUGUGAGAGGGCUGAAUGAUCGGGCCAGACGAGGUACUGCCCGCACGCUCAUUGAACGCAUUGCCUGUUCGAUUGUAUGCCUGCAGGAAGCGAAACUUUCGUCUUGCUCGGCUACCAAUCGCCUGGAAAUUGUAGGCCCACGUUUUGAUCACCAUGCGGCCCUCGACACCGAUGGAACGCGCGGUGGCAUCCUGCUGUGUUGGAGCUCCACUGAUUACGCGGCUAGUAGGCUGGACGUGAGAACAUACACUGUUACGGCAACCUUCUCUCCCACGGAUGGCGGGCACGAUUGGUCCGUGACAACGGUAUAUGGCCCACAUGAUGACCAGCGUAAGAACAAGUUCCUCGUAGAGCUUGCCGCAAUUCACAAUACCAUGAUGGGCCCGUGGCUCCUCAUUGGGGAUUUCAACCUCAUUACAAACCCACAAGACAAGAACAACUCGAGAGUUUGCCGGCGUUGGAUGAACAAGUUUAGACGAACCCUGAACUCCUCGAGCCUCCAUGAAAUACCUCUAAUUGGGCGCAGAUUCACUUGGAGCAACGAGCAAGCCACCCCUACCCUAGUGCGCCUCGAUCGGGCCUUCUGCAAUAUUGAUUGGGAAUUGAUCUUCCCUAUGGCCAAGCUCCUCCCGCAAUCUUCUGCCAUAUCCGACCACUGCCCGCUUCUAUUAAUCAACGACAGCAUCAUCAAGACAAACAAGCGCUUCCGCUUCGAAUCGUACUGGCAAUUUAUUGUGGGGUUCAGAGAGGUGGUGGACCAAUCGUGGGCUUUGGACGUUGGAUCUUCUUGCCCACUGUCUCGCCUGAAUAACAAGUUGUGGCGGCUCAGCAAAGCUUUAAAAGAGUGGAGUAAGAACAUUGUGGGGGACAUUCAGAAGCAAUUCGCGCUGGUAAACGAGCUGAUUCUGCAGCUAGACAAAGCGCAAGAUCUGCGGGGCCUAACCACGGAAGAGAGCAGUCUACGCGCAAAGCUUAAAUCCCGCACUUUGGGACUAGCUGUUCUGAUCGAGAUCAAGCGGCGACGGAGAAGCAGAGUCCUCUGGCUAAAAGCAGGCGACGCCAAUACAAAAUUCUUUCAGAGGAAAGCUAACGCGCGCCACAAGAGAAACACCAUCCAUGUGUUGCAUGGUCCACAGGGCCCAGUCUCAUCGACGGAAGACAUGACAAACCUG
rnacentral:rRNA from 1 species